CAGUUCCUACGGGGCGCAGCAGUGGGGAAUAUUGGGCAAUGGGCGCAAGCCUGACCCAGCAACGCCGCGUGAAGGAAGAAGGCUUUCGGGUUGUAAACUUCUUUUGACAGGGAAGAGUAGAAGACGGUACCUGUCGAAUAAGCCACGGCUAACUACGUGCCAGCAGCCGCGGUAAUACGUAGGUGGCAAGCGUUGUCCGGAUUUACUGGGUGUAAAGGGCGUGUAGCCGGGUUGACAAGUCAGAUGUGAAAUCCUGCGGCUUAACCGCAGAACUGCAUUUGAAACUGGUUUUCUUGAGUGAAGUA
rnacentral:rRNA from 1 species